rfam:Gemmatimonadetes bacterium 13_1_20CM_4_66_11 13_1_20cm_4_scaffold_8641, whole genome shotgun sequence.
CGCUGCUCAGAGCAAAGCCGCCGAAAGGCGGUGACGCAGAGCCACGGGACUAACGCGAGCUAGCUCGCCAUGUCCGCCGGGCCGCCAGC